UUCCCAUGCCGGGAAUCGAACCCGGGCCUUCUGGGGGAAAGCCAGAUAUCCUAGCCAACUAGACCACGUGGAA